UACGUAGGGGGCAAGCGUUGUCCGGAAUCAUUGGGCGUAAAGAGCGUGUAGGCGGCCCGGUAAGUCCGCCGUGAAAGUCCAGGGCUCAACCCUGGAAAGCGGGUGGAUACUGCCGGGCUAGAAUCCGGAAGAGGCGAGUGGAAUUCCUGGUGUAGCGGUGGAAUGCGCAGAUAUCAGGAGGAACACCAAUAGCGAAGGCAGCUCGCUGGGACGGUAUUGACGCUAAGGCGCGAAAGCGUGGGGAGCAAACAGG
rnacentral:rRNA from 1 species